CCGUUCCCUUCAGGACCACCAAUAAUCCCGCCACCCCCUCCCAUCUCUCCCGACUGUCUGGAUGACACUGAUGCCCUGGGCAGUAUGCUAAUCUCUUGGUACAUGAGUGGCUACCACACUGGCUACUAUAUGGUUUCCCAGGUGUUGGAGAUCGCACCCUGGGGCUUGGGCAUCCUGGGCAAGCCCCACCACUGAGCUGUAUCUCAGCCUGCCAGUUUUUGAAGUUUAAUGUUUCGUUGGGUUUCAGACAAAAUAAAAAAGAAGGAAAGUGCUCACAUACAAAUUAAGAACCAGGUCUAAAAUUCAACGGCCCG
rnacentral:sRNA from 1 species